AUACGUAGGGGGCGAGCGUUGUCCGGAAUGAUUGGGCGUAAAGGGCGCGUAGGCGGCCCGGUAAGUCUGGAGUGAAAGUCCUGUUUUUAAGAUGGGAAUUGCUUUGGAUACUGUCGGGCUUGAGUGCAGGAGAGGUAAGUGGAAUUCCCAGUGUAGCGGUGAAAUGCGUAGAGAUUGGGAGGAACACCAGUGGCGAAGGCGACUUACUGGACUGUAACUGACGCUGAGGCGCGAAAGUGUGGGGAGCAAACAGGAUUAGAUACCCUGGUAGUCCACACUGUAAACGAUGAAUGCUAGGUGUAGGGGGUAUCGACCCCUUCCGUGCCGCAGUUAACACAAUAAGUAUUCCACCUGGGGAGUACGGCCGCAAGGUUGAAACUUAAAGGAAUUGGCGGGG
rnacentral:rRNA from 1 species